AAAUGCGAAUGUUUGUUGGUUUAUUCUUCAAUCAGGCCGCAAUACAGCAACGGAUUGGCGUGAGUUUUUGCAUGGUUAUAGUUAGGAAC